rnacentral:rRNA from 1 species
UACCGGCAGCUCAAGUGGUAGCCGCGAUUAUUGGGCCUAAAACGUUCGUAGCCGGAUAAGUAAGUCUUUGGUUAAAUCCUGCGACUCAACCGUGGGAAUUCUAGAGAUACUGCUUGUCUUGAGACCGGGAGAGGUUGGAGGUACUCCUAGGGUAGGGGUGAAAUCCUGUAAUCCUAGGGGGACCACCUGUGGCGAAGGCGGCUAACUGGAACGAACCUGACGGUGAGGGACGAAAGCUAGGGGCGCGAACCGGAUUAGAUACCCGGGUAGUCCUAGGCGUAAAUGAUGCGAGUUAAGUGUGGGGGCAUCUACGAGAUGGCCCUGUGCUGUAGGGUAGCCGUUAAACUCGCUGCCUGGGGAGUACGGUCGCAAGGCUGAAACUUAAAGGAAUUGGCGGGGGAGCACCACAAGAGGUGGAGGCUGCGGUUCAAUUGGAUUCAACGCCGGA